GUUGGUAGAGCAAGUUAAGAGAUGUUGGGUGCCAGGAGGCAGUGGGGAACAUCUGUCAAUCAGCAAAGGCAUUAGAUGGAUGGAGAAGAAUUUGCUCCCAAAAAGAAGGAACCAGUGGUGGCGGGGAAUUUCCACUGCGUUUCUUGAUUAUAACUCGGCCUGGCACCAGGUUGUCCCAGGAGGUAGCCAUUCUUCCCUAGCCGGUGAUGAUGGCACCUGACAGGUUGGUCCUGCCCAGUUCAGGGCCUGAAACAGGCUACCUAUCACCGUGUCCAGCUCCCCAGCUUCCACUGAAGAAGCUGAGCCAGGGGCCUGGAACCAGGAGAGGCCAGCUCAUCAGAGAACAUCAUGAUCUCUGGCUCUGGAGCAACAAAAGCUGGCUGAGGUCACACAGGUCAACCGCCCCCCCUCGUGGCCAAGGAGAGCUUGAGGAGUGUGUGCUGAAUGAGAUGGGAGGGGACAUUGUGCUGCACCGAUUAGGGAGUCGGACUCGAUGAUCACGGAGAUCAUAUUUGAGAAUUUAUUAAUAACAUUUCUGGCAGUGGGAGAACGAAAAAGCACACAUAAAAUACUAGCUCUGACUUUACAUGGUACAGGCUCUAAAUCCCAGCUCUGCUUGCUGGCGACUGAGUGACCUUGGAAACCCUUAUCUCUGAAUCCAGCUCGCUUUCCUGCAAACUAGCCCAGGGGACUAUUUGGUGGAAAAGAGCGAGUGAGAUGGCAGAUGUCUGAUAUGUUGCAAAUAAACCAGAAAAAGAAAUAAUUGCUAAGACUUAAGAUCACGUGUCCAGUGGAUCCAGAACCUCUCCAGGUGCACCGUGACUCGGUGGUAGAGGCUCAGGCCUUACAUACACAAGGCUCUGAGGAAUAAAUGCUCUGCCUGGGUGAUGGCUCAUGCUUAUACUAUAUUUCCAACAUAUGGGUUCCAGGCCAGUCUGGGCUACAGAGCAAGUUCUGGGCCAGCCUGAGCUACCACAGAGGCCUCACCUCAAAAACAAAACAAACAGCAAAAACAGAACCAAAAUCCUGAAGGCAGUGGCGACCAUCCCCAUGAUCUCCACUUCUCUGCCCCACUGUUUAUGUCUGGUGGAGAUGAAAUCCUAGCGUGUCUAGUACUAUCCACUUAGCAUCGUGCACAGCACACGUCAUUCUGAGAGUGACAUACCAGGAACUGGCGGUGGUGAGGCAUGUCAUAAGAUCUUUGAGUUUGAGGCCAGCCUGGUUUUUCUAGCGAGUUCCAGGCCAGUUACAGAUACACAGUGAGCUCUUGUCUAAAAAGGAAAAAGGAAAAAAAGCGAAAAAGAAAAGAGUUAAGCAUUAGGAGCCAGCUGUACUGGCUCACACCUAUAAUCCCAAUACGCGAGAUGCAAAGGCGUAGGCUCCGGUGUAAGCUCUUGUUUCUAAAAAGCAGAAUAAAAUGAAACAAAACAAAAAACCCCACCUUAGGCCUGGGGCAUGUGUGAAGCUCUGGGUUUGAUCCCCAUUAAUAUACACACACUGGAAGAUAUCGGUAGAAUUUAGCAGUCCCAAGUGAUUGGUAGUGAAAGGAACUAAGCCACAGAAAGUUAAUUUGUCCAAGAUCACUUGAGCAAAAAGAGGAGACCUGUCUGGCAGGAGGCAGAGGAAAGAGCUCGUUCCUAAAUCUACCUCCUCAAGCUUACGACCCUUUGUAUUGGUGUUCACCUGGCAGCCUCUCUAAUUCAGAUCAGCUUGUGUCUCCCCAAAUCACCCCCCUAAGAGGCAGAAGACUCCCCUUAAGAGAAUGACAGACCCUGAGGCUGGGGACACACAACAGAACAGCAGCGCUCCGAGCAAUCCAAGGAGCAGGGAAUAUUAAAUGGAAUUUGAUGUGAACAGCUUAGCCAAAGGAGACGAUAGGCUAAAAAGCCCCAAGUGUCCUAAAUCGAGAGGUCAGAAACCUAAUGGAGAAGAUGGGGUGGGACCCACGUGAAGGCUCCAUCCACCAAUCCAAAACCUUACCUAAGUCACCUGACCCUCUGAUCCCUGGCCCCCUCAAUUGGCAACCAUUUCUUAUUUGGAAAAUAAAAACACGGGAGGCAAAUAUCUUUAUCAGUGCCGUCUUCUUUAACACGGGUCUAUGGCCUGACUACAAAAGAUUAACAAUAUAGGUGAGCCCCGACUGGAAGACACACUGCAGAUACAACCCAGACCUUCCUAAAGACACCCUACGGGAGAACACUUGCUUUCCCAAAGGAAUUCUGACAAAAGAAUCUUGUCACAGCGUAGAAUGCAAUAAAUCCACCCUGGAAAGUGACACUCAUGUAGGCUCCUGACCCACAUAUUUCUUGGGCACCGUGUUUCUCAAAAGAAGUCACCCUGGCUCUAAGACCUGGUCCUUUGACACUCUCACACCUGACUCAAGAAUUAUUGCGAGUAGAAGCAAAAGGAGAAAUUUGUUUGGUUCAUGGGGUUUCUUCAAACCCCAAUUUUGAAGGCUUAGAGAGUACCAGCAAGAAACACAGACCCCCUACGAGCCCUCGGGCCUGCUCCUCAAGGGUAUCUGAUUCUGUAAGACUCGGGGAUGGCUAUGCACUGACAGCCUAAGAAUCCUCACCUUUCAUGCUACACCCCAGAAGUCCCAAAGUCACAGGAUUUUUUUCUUAGCUCUUGUGUGAAUCCCAAAUAUGGCCUUCCCCGACUCUGUUACUCCUCCACCCCUACCCUUCAGUCUUAACUUUAUUUAGUUCAGAGCCUGCCUAGGACAUAAGAAUCUGCUAAGAAGAGUACCUUGAAGUUGGAACAGGGACACAGUAUUGGGCAGACACCCUUGGAAGAGUAGCGAGCAUCAUCAGGCCCAGAGGAGAGCUGGUGAGGCAGGAAUGAAUAUUCACAGGCCUUCAAGACACAGGUUUGGUGCGGUUGAACCCAAAGGACCCAAACCAUCAUGACCCUGGCCUCUUCUUCACCCAUACCACAGGAACUAGGAAUCCUACGUAACCCGAACACAGAAAGAAUGCAUCCUGGGAGUUAACCACCAUCACCAACAACGGUAACAAACACAGCCGCCGCCUCUGCUCUGCGCCACGCAACGGACUGCGCUCUACACACAUGCCUGCGUAAAUCAUUCAACCCCCCAAUUCUCCUCGAGACACUAGGAUUGAUUUCUAUUUUUCAAGUAAAUAAAAGUGUCACUGAAAGAAAGCAAUUCAUUUAAGUCCAAAAAGAAGGUAAAAAAUAAAGACGUUAAGAUAAGAGGCAUGAGCCCUAAGCAGAGCCAUCUGAAAACGUCUAUAUUCAGGACCCCAUUUUGCUUCCUCCCAGUCCCCACCCUGUCUCUAAGGACAGAAAGGUCAAUGCAGAAAAGAGAUGGCAAGGGAAGAUAAUCCCCUUACGUCGCAGGAUACUGAGGACUCUGACACAAAAACUCCAGGCUGGUUUUGCUGUCCAUGAUCACCUGGAUGCCUUGGAGGUGUCACCCAGGAAACUCAAAUUGAAUGUGCUGUGGUGGGGGUGGGGGGAUUCUGCAGCUCCAAGAGGCCGGAGCUUCCUGAGGGAGGUAGUAAAUAUUUCAUGGGACCUUCCAGCUCCUCCUGACUCAAGUGACCCUGUGACAUUUCAGAACAUGGGGCUGGAGAAUAGUCUCCACUUAAUGGCUGGGAAGUCGGAAGAACUGAGUAGCAGGUUGCUGAAGGGGUCUGAGUCCAGAUAGGCCCAUGCAGGCAAAUUUUGCAAGAGUAAGGUCCUUUUCCCCAGAUCACUGGCAGUGAGUGAGCCCCUUCCAAACUGCUGUGUUAUGGGCUCCGAAACAGCCCAAAUCUUGGCUAUGUUUUCCACUGCUCCUUCCUAGUGUGCCACCAAUGCCCGGGUGCGGGGGGGGGGGGGUAUUCAAUGCUUGGUAACUGAGGGAACCGCAAUCACCCACUAACAACGUAGCAUUUGGGUCACAACCCAGCCUAGACCCACAGAUCAGUCCUAACACGCUACGGUUCCAAGCAACUGCAGUGAACAUCGCCUCUCGGCAUGUGGCCAGGAGAACUCUCUCAGGGCUCUGCAGCCGAACCUCUACUCCUGAGCACCGGUCCAGUUCUCUCAGUGAACCGCUAACGAGGGCUCCCUGCAGGAACAAAGCCAUGUGCUGCCGGCCCUGUCACACCGGCACAGCAGUCCCGUGCAACCCGAAUCCAUGAGCAGCUGCCUUCAUGACAGAGCCCCACCUGCACAAGCCACUGCAGAGUAGUGUUUUGAAAAGAAACGAGCAGAUCUGAGGCAAAACACACACGGCCUCCUUGUAGUGCUGACUCCACACAGCCAGCCGCGAGCUUGAGGUGGCUUCUCUGCACUAGCAACGACCACAGAAACGCUUAGACCCCUGCGUCUGAAACCAUGCCAGCAUUCUGAUCGCACCUCUGCAGAACUAACGGCCACAAGUUCCAUUCAAUUACGGACUCGGAACCAGAGGAAAUCUUGGCUUUGCUCAGAAGUUCACAGGUUCCUGGGGCACAAUCCCACACUGUAGCCUUGAACUAUAGGGCGAAGCUGUUUGUAAAUGCCCUGCUGGCUGGAAUCCUUGCGGGCAAAGUGUGGGAGAAACAAAGAGGGUCUCUGGUGACCACGGCUCUGUGGCCUCCCUGACCCUAGAAUGCACGCCAACUCAAGCUUGUGUUUUCUGGGUUUUAUCCCACAACUGUCUUAAUGUCAUCCAGAUGGCAUCCCUGGAAUACCAUCUUCCUUAAAACCCUCCAAAGUUCCAGAUGGAGCUGUAUCUCUGGACAGACCCUCCAUGCCUGCCCAGACAUCUCUUCUCCUCCCCAUCUUUCUAAUCGCCUAACUUUUCUCAGACCUUUGAGGACACUCUAGUUAACGGUUAGCGUCACACAUCCACAAGCAAGUCCGAGUACUCCCAGUCCUCCCCUUUGCCUCUCAGACCCCAAGCCCUUGGCUCUCUAGGGUCGCCAGAGGCCAGAGGAGCGGUUUGGCACCGCCUGCUCCAAGCACCGCUUGCGAACCGGGGAAAUCUCCGGGAGGAUUGCGGGAGGUCGCUCUUGCAGGUGCGAAGCAGGCUCAGCUGAGCGAUGCCCAGGAAGAGGCCCCGAGUGUGGACAGCGCAUAGGGUGCUGAAUCAGACACGGGGGUGGAGGAGCACCAGGGCCUCGGGAGGACAAGAUGAGUCGUGGUGCGCCCCGACCGGGCAGAGCGAGCAGGGCCAGGGACGCGCCGCCGCCGUAGGGUCCCGAGCGCCGGUGCCCCGAGCGCGGGC